AAUAGAUACCCCGGUAGUCCAUGCCGUAAACGUUGGGCGCUAGAUGUGGGGACCAUUCCACGGUUUCCGUGUCGCAGCUAACGCAUUAAGCGCCCCCGCCUGGGGAGUACGGCCGCAAGGCUAAAACUCAAAGGAAUUGACGGGGGGCCCGCACAAGCGGCGGAGCAUGCGGAUUAAUUCGAUGCAACGCGAAGAACCUUACCAAGGCUUGACAUAUACGAGAACGCUCUAGAAAUAGAGAACUCUUUGGACACUCGUAUACAGGUGGUGCAUGGUUGUCGUCAGCUCGUGUCGUGAGAUGUUGGGUUAAGUCCCGCAACGAGCGCAACCCUCGUUCUAUGUUGCCAGCGCGUUAUGGCGGGAACUCAUAGGAGACUGCCGGGGUCAACUCGGAGGAAGGUGGGGAUGACGUCAAAUCAUCAUGCCCCUUAUGUCUUGGGCUUCACGCAUGCUACAAUGGCCGGUACAAAGGGCUGCAAUACCGCAAGGUGGAGCGAAUCCCGAAAACGGCCGGUCUCAGUUCGGAUUGAGGU
rnacentral:rRNA from 1 species